UCUCUCUCUCCCUCUCUCUCAACCAGGGACGCAGUCGUUAAUUUUCUUUCUCCUGCGAGAAGGAGAGGGAAAACUAGAGCUAAACGGACACUUCGGUUGGUCUAUAGUAAGUCGGCCUUUUCUGCUUCUGUUGUUCCUUUUUUCUCCAGCCAAUUUAGGGCUCGCUGCUUCCGCUCUCAAUGAGUCAAUACUGCUGAGAAGGCUAGCAAUUUGGGUUAACAGUUCCUAUAGCAGCUGAAGCAGAGACGAGCAGAUAUUUUCAGUAUUUCUAAAGUUAGAGAUGGAGGAGAAUUCAUCUUUGGCUGUUUUAGAUGGAGAAAUAGUUGGAAUUCGAUUUGGUUUGACGACCUAUGAAGAAAUUGUAAGUUGAUAUCUCUCUU